rnacentral:rRNA from 1 species
UACCAGCACCCCGAGUGGUCGGGACGAUUAUUGGGCCUAAAGCAUCCGUAGCCGGUUUUACAAGUCCUCCGUUAAAUCCAGCUGCUUAACAGAUGGGCUGCGGAGGAUACUAUAAGACUAGGAGGCAGGAGAGGCAAGCGGUACUCAGUGGGUAGGGGUAAAAUCCGUUGAUCCAUUGAAGACCACCAGUGGCGAAGGCGGCUUGCCAGAAUGCGCUUGACGGUGAGGGAUGAAAGCUGGGGGAGCAAACCGG